UGGCGGACGGGGGAGUAAUGUCUGGGAAACUGCCCGAUGGAGGGGGAUAACUACUGGAAACGGUAGCUAAUACCGCAUAACGUCGCAAGACCAAAGAGGGGGACCUUAGGGCCUCUUGCCAUCGGAUGUGCCCAGAUGGGAUUAGCUAGUAGGUGGGGUAACGGCUCACCUAGGCGACGAUCCCUAGCUGGUCUGAGAGGAUGACCAGCCACACUGGAACUGAGACACGGUCCAG
rnacentral:rRNA from 1 species